rnacentral:rRNA from 1 species
UGUAAGCGUAUACCAAAGUUGUUGCAGUUAAAACGCUCGUAGUCGGAAUUUGGCAGUUCCGGAUGUGUGCACGUCGUGUGCGCACUUCGCGGGGAUUGCUUUUGUGGUCUUGCGUAGGAUGAGGCACUUUUAUUAGUGAACGUCCUCACGCAACCACUUUUUACUGUGAGAAAAUCAGAGUGCUCAAAGCAGGCAUUUGCCGUGAAUGUAUUAGCAUGGAAUAAUAGAAUAGGACUUGGUUCUAUUUUGUUGGUUUGUUGGGACUGAGUAAUGAUUAAGAGGGACAGUUGGGGGCAUUCGUAUUUCGGUGCUAGAGGUGAAAUUCUUAGAUUACCGAAAGACAAACUGCUGCGAAAGCGUCUGCCAAGGAUGUUCUCAUUGA